rnacentral:rRNA from 1 species
CUCAAUUUCCUUGGAACAGGAGGUCAUGGAAGGUGAGAACCCCGUAUGUGGCUUGGGUGCCCUGGUCCUUGUAGAGUAUCCUCUAAGAGUCGGGUUGUUUGGGAAUGCAGCUCAAAAUGGGUGGUAAAUUUCAUCUAAAGCUAAAUAUUGGUGAGAGACCGAUAGCAAACAAGUAGAGUGAUCGAAAGAUGAAAAGUACUUUGAAAAGAGAGUGAAACAGUACGUGAAACUGUUGAAAGGGAAGCGUUUGGCAUCAGCCCAUGGCGGCGGUCGAACAUCUGGGCUUCUGCCCAGUGCACUCUUUUUGUCGCCGGGCCAGCGUCGGUUCCACCUGCUGGAGAAAGGCCUUGGGGAAGUGGCACUCCCUUGUGGAGUGUGUUAUAACCCAUGGCGUCAUGCGGCUUGGUGGGACCGAGGUCCGCGGUUUUGUCCUAGGACGCUGGCGUAAUGGUUCCAAGCGACCCGUCUUGAAACACGGACCAAGGAGUCUAACAUCUAUGCGAGUGUUUGGGUGUCAAGCCCGG